rnacentral:rRNA from 1 species
AUACGGAGGGUGCAAGCGUUAUCCGGAAUUACUGGGUUUAAAGGGUGCGUAGGCGGUUUAAUAAGUCAGAAGUGAAAAGUCCGAGCUCAACUGGGGCCUUGCUUUUGAUACUGUUAGACUUGAAUCAGACUGAGGUUAGCGGAAUGUGACAUGUAGCGGUGAAAUGCAUAGAUAUGUCAUAGAACACCAAUUGCGAAGGCAGCUAACUAGACCUCGAUUGACGCUGAGGCACGAAAGCGUGGGGAGCGAACAGGAUUAGAAACCCUAGUAGUCC